UAGGGAAUCUUCGGCAAUGGACGAAAGUCUGACCGAGCAACGCCGCGUGAGUGAAGAAGGUUUUCGGAUCGUAAAACUCUGUUGUUAGAGAAGAACAAGGACGUUAGUAACUGAACGUCCCCUGACGGUAUCUAACCAGAAAGCCACGGCUAACUACGUGCCAGCAGCCGCGGUAAUACGUAGGUGGCAAGCGUUGUCCGGAUUUAUUGGGCGUAAAGCGAGCGCAGGCGGUUUCUUAAGUCUGAUGUGAAAGCCCCCGGCUCAACCGGGGAGGGUCCUUGGAACCUCGGCGAUUUAACUGCAGAAGAGGAGAGUGGAAUUCCAUUUUUAGCGGUAAAUUGCGUAGAUAUAUGAAGAAACACCAGUGGCGAAGGCGGCUCUCUGGUCUGUAACUGACGCUGAGGCUCGAAGGCGUGGGUGGCAAACAGG
rnacentral:rRNA from 1 species